AACGGUCUAUACCUGCGGUACCUGCGGAGGGAUCAUUACAUGGCGGAGAAGGUGGGCAACCUGGCCAACAUCCAGGUUGUGAUGCCUUCACGCUCUUCCACCCUUGUCUAUUUGCACCUUCUGUCGUUCCCUCGGCGGGUUUCGACCCGCCGGCGGCAACAUUGAAAAACCCUUUUUGCAGUUAGCAUUCAAUUCUUCUGAUCAAAUAUUAAAUCAUUACAACUUUCAACAAUGGAUCUC
rnacentral:misc_RNA from 1 species